UCAAAUUUACACCGUAACUUCGGGAGAAGGUGUGCCCUUUGAUGUGUAGGACUUCGCGUCUGAAGCGUCGGGGGGUUGCAGAGAAACGGGGGUGGCGACUGUUUACUAAAAACACAGGACUCUGCGAACUCGCAAGAGGACGUAUAGGGUCUGACGCCUGCCCGGUGCUGGAAGGUUAAGGGGAGUUGUCAGCGCAAGCGAAGCAACGAACCGAAGCCCCAGUAAACGGCGGCCGUAACAAUAACGGUCCUAAGGUAGCGAAAUUCCUUGUCGGGUAAGUUCCGACCUGCACGAAUGGCGUAACGACUUCCCCACUGUCUCGACCAGCGACUCAGCGAAAUUGUAAUCGCGGUGAAGAUACCGUGUACCCGCGGCAAGACGGAAAGACCCCAUGAACCUUUACUGCAACUUGACAGUGAAGCUCGGGACAGACUGCGUAGGAUAGGUGGGAGGCUGAGAAGCCGGGAUUCUGGUCUCGGCAGAGCCAACCUUGAAAUACCACCCUGUUUGUUCUGGGCUUCUAACCCAGGCGAGUAAGCCUCGUCGGGGACACUGUCUGGUGGGCAGUUUGACUGGGGCGGUCGCCUCCCAAAAAGUAACGGAGGCGCGCGAAGGUUCCCUCAGGCUGAUUGGAAACCAGCCGUAGAGUGUAAUGGCAUAAGGGAGCUUGACUGUGAGACCGACAGGUCGAGCAGGUGCGAAAGCAGGUCAUAGUGAUCCGGCAGUUCUGUAUGGAAGGGCUGUCGCUCAUCGGACAAAAGGUACUCUGGGGAUAACAGGCUGAUCGCGCCUGAGAGUUCAUAUCGGCGGCGCGGUUUGGCACCUCGAUGUCGGCUCAUCGCAUCCUGGGGCUGGAGCAGGUCCCAAGGGUUUGGCUGUUCGCCAAUUAAAGCGGUACGCGAGCUGGGUUUAGAACGUCGUGAGACAGUUCGGUCCCUAUCUGCCGUGGGCGCAGGAUACUUGAGAGGGUCUAACCAUAGUACGAGAGGACCUGGUUGGACGUACCUCUGGUGAUCCGGUUGUUCCGCCUGGAGCAUCGCCGGGUAGCUAUGUACGGAAUGGAUAACCACUGAAAGCAUCUAAGUGGGGAGCCGGCCUCAAGAUGAGGUAUCCCGGGACAUUAGUCCCCUGAAGGCCCGUCGAAGACUACGACGUAAUAGGCUAGGUGUGGAAGCGCAGCAAUGCGUGGAGCUAACUAGUACUAAUCGGCCGUGAGGCUUGACCUA
rnacentral:rRNA from 1 species